UCUGUGGAGGAUUAGUGGCUAGGCCUCAGUGCUCUCACUGCCAAGGCCCAGGUUCGAGUCCCGGCCAGGGAA